rnacentral:lncRNA from 1 species
CUUGUCCAAGAUGAUGAUACUCCUGCCCUGUCACCUACUCUCUUGUGAUUACCAUUUGCAUGGGAUAUCUUUUUCAUCCCUUCACUUUCAGCCUAUGUGUGUUCUUAAAUCUAAACCUCUCAUAAGCCGUAGCAUGUCCUGAAUCUUACUGGCUUCGUCCUCGGUGGUGAUUUCGGAGCUGGUGUCUACGGCUGCGUCUGACAUGGUGGGGCACGCCGGUGACGCGAUGCAGGGGAUAAAAAAGAAAGCGACAGUUCAGGGACUCUGGCGAUAAAGCUGCCGGAGUCCGCGGCGGCGGAGGCGGCUGCGGCGAGCAAGGAGGCUGACGACGCACAAUGCAAAGACGGCUUUUCAGAGCAGCCAGUGGGGCAGGACAAUGUUUUUCAUCAAAUGUCCUUAGAUUUGGAGGAGGUUUCCCCAGUGUAUCCAGUGGUUGUCUUCCUCUUGAUUAAUAUUAAAGGAGGAGAAAAAGUGUGUAUUGGGGUCAGUGCAGAAAACAAAUCAUCCAAGCACACGAAGUGGAAUUUGCUAAUAGCAUUACUACUCACCCAGUGACUUCGGAGUCACAACCCAGGACACGGUUUUCCGCCCAUUUCUACAGACACAGUGAGAUUCUUCAUUCUUCUCUGUUGGAACAGCCAGGAAAGCGGAAGAGACCUCCAGCUGCACAACGACCUGUCCCCCACACCCAACCACAAGUUUAUGAAGGGAUGCAGAACAGCAUGAAUACUGCAAAAGAUGCUCUGUGCAUCAGGUAAAUGGACUGAGGGACAAUGUCCAUGAGUCCAGAGGCGCUGAGAAGCUGUGCAAAUAUGGUCAGCUCUAUCAGACACUUUGUAGUUUAGGUGUUUGAAACAAGAAAAUUGAAAAACUGACAGGAAUUAGGAUAAGUGUUUAGGAUUUAGCCUUGUGCCAACAGAAGAAAGAGGUGUUUAGUGAAAAACAUGAAACAAUCAGGUGGACAUAAUGUCUGAAUUUAGGAAUACACAGAUAUAGGAGCCUGAAUGAAUAUAACCUUACCACCUUGGGCCUGUCAGGUACCUUUUCUCUUAGUACCAGGUCUGCUCCAAAAUUAGGAUAUAUCAUAUGCAGUUCUGAUUUCCUGGGUUACCUAGGAGACCUGGUAAUGAAUGGUGACUAUCUUCUAUUCUCAUUCACUUCCAGAGAAGUGUCCUUACCCGAAUGCAGGUGGACAAGCAGUUAAACACAGUGGCUUUGAGUGUGAAGGCUUCUCCUCGCACCACAGAAUAAGGAAGGGUGAGUUCUAGGAAGAAAGGCUGGAAGGCUUGAAGAGACACGAUAGGAGAGAGGCCAAACCCUGUGGUUCCAGACAAGCAGAAUGCGCUGGCCUUCCACUCUGUGAUGGUUUCAGGGACCUGGUCACCAGCUCACUUAUACCUAAUGAGCUAGUGAAGGAGCAGAGAAGAGGAGUAUAAGCAAAUCUUUUUUUUUUUUUUUUAACACAAAGCAUGGCUGAUCCUAGAACAUGAUAACUCAGUAACCUAGUGUGGUAAAUGCUAAACUUGAUCUAAGGGUUGGUGCUCCUGGUGAGGUUUAAAGUUUUUUUUCUCCCUACCUCCCUUACUCCCUCCUUCCCUCCCUCCCUUUAUUUCUUCCUCUUUUCUUUCAUUCUUUCCUUCCUUUUGUUCUUUCUUUCAAUCUCCCUCCCCUCCCCUUCCCUUUCCUUUAUUUAAGAGGGCUGGUAGCAUCCUACUUUCUAUUAUCUUAGUUAUCAAUAGACUAAAUUAGAAAAAAAAUUAGCAUUGUUUAAUUAUGAGAUAAAUGAACUAUAAACCUAAAUAUUUACCAGAAAAGAGCAGAGCAGAACUAAAAGGAUCAGGAAUCCAGGAUAACAUCAGUCAUACAGCAGGAUUCAAACCCUCUCCUAAACUAAAUUCCAGGCAACACACAACUUACUCAACUACCACCAAAUCCCAGAUCCAGGUCUCAGGGAAGUACUUCCGGACUAUCUCUUUCACUUGCAAUAUCUGAGGUUCUUCUUCGAUCAUUGGGUACAUUAUUUCUACGGCUCCUGGGGGUACACCUCGCAGACCUGGUCCUGGAAGACAACACACAGGCCUCAGUGUGAACCUCAUUUUUAUCAUCAAUUUCUUAUUGCUGCCUUAUUUCUCAAAUGGAAUAAGGUCAUACGCUCAGGGAAUGUUUAUUAUUGGAACAAUUUAACCUACCAGCUUGUUAUUUUGUUCACUUUCCUAUAAAAAGGCUAAUCCUAUUUUUUCUUCAAAUAGAAUCUAGAGCUAAAUAUAUUUUUCUUUAUAAAUAAAAACAAAUGACCUGUACAUGUACCUCCUGAAUCUAAAAUAAAAGUUGAUUAAAAAAAAACAAAUGUAGCUCUCUCUAAGAUGAUUACUCAACUGGUGAAGGGAAGGAUAAAGAGUAAUUUAAUACACCAAAUAUUGCUUUUACACUGAAAUUGUGUUCACAUGUCUUCUGUUUGCAGUGAGAAUCAAACGAGGAAUGGAUAUUAGCUAAGCAAGAUGAUUUCGGGAAUGAUUUUUUGUUUGUUUGUUUGUUUCGACAUUGAAUUAAUAUGGAGACAUAAACAAUAAGCAACAGGAUUCAGUAAAGUAUGUAGUAUAGACAAUAGGGAGUCAGGAAUGAAAAGACAAUCAACUUUAGUUAGGCCGGAAAAGACUUUACCAAAGCGGAACCUAAGAUGAUCAUUCAUGGAUGGGAGGUGGAGGAGAAUGGGGAGUUAUUCCCAGGAAAGGACUGUGCAAAUAUAUAUACAAAGGUGGAAGGGUGCUUCACAGGGAUAGUAAAAAUUUACCCUCUAGAGUAGAAUGGCUAUUUUCAGGGUGUGUUUCCCAUAAUUAGGUAAACAGAAGGUAUAAUAUAUAAUAAAACAUAAGGCUAGGACAAAUGAAUAAGGUCUGUUAAGUGGGAG